AGGUGUGUAGGGGAAUGUGCGUGUGCGUUUCCCGUGUACGUGUAAUCCGUGUGUACGUGUUCGUGUGCACAUUUGAGAGCCUUUUGUCUCCCUUUCGUCCCCCACCCUACGCCGCCCACGUCACCCACGCCGCCCACGCCUUCCCCGCCCAGCAGCCGCCCAUGUCAUAAAUAAAGAGAAAGUUUCCUGCAAGGCGUGAGCAGAGACACCUGGCGGCAAUUACAGAGAUGCACCUGCUCUGUACUUGCCCUCCUCACCCCGGUCACACGUAACACUUCAUUAAUAGGAGAGUCGGUGCAUGUUGUGACCCGCUGCGAAGCAUGAAGGAAGGCGGACGCUUGCUGCAACACUAUUAGAAUACUGAGCCCGGACAUUACGUUGUGAGAAGGUGAGCGAUGCAAUAUGAACGAAAGGCAAGUGAAGUGAUACGCAAUACUUUCAUUGAAUACUUGAGUGUGUUAUUUAGAACCGUAAGGCAGUAGGUUGAUAUUACAGCGCCGUUGAAUAAAAGGGGUAAUAACUAAGUGUAUUUUAUGUUAGAGGGGCAUCAGCCAAGGCCAACAGAAAGAGCGAAAAAAAAAAAAAGGCCCACUGACAUGCCAUUCCCAAAAGAAAAUUCAAAAGGAUCAUCAAAAUUGGAGGAUAUUUUGAAAUCUUCCACGUGAGAGUUCAAGUCAUAGGAAGGAGGAAAUACAGAGGCAGGCAGGGAAUUCCAGAGUUUACCAGAAAAAGGGAUGAAUGAUUGAGAACACUGGUUAACUC